AGGGCUUAAGGUGGAUGCCUUGGCACAUGAAGACUAAGAAGGACGUAAGUGAACGAAAACUAGGGAAAGCUCACAAAAAGCAAUAACCCCUAGGUAUCCGAAUGGGGAAACCCGUCUGUGGAAGACACAGACAUCAUAAAGUAAAUACAUAGCUUUAUGAAGUAAGACCCUGCGAACUGAAACAUCUAAGUAGCAGGAGGAAAAGAAAGAAAACUCGAUUUUCCAAGUAGCGGCGAGCGAAAAGAAAACAGCCCAACCCAGUAAGAAAUAUAUUAUCUAGUUAAAUCAUUUGGGAAAAUGAACCAAAGAAAGUGAAAGUCUUGUAAACAAAAGAAAAUAUAUUGUGGGGGCAAGUAGCAGUGAGCACGAGAAAUUUGCUGUGAAGAUAGGGGGACCAUCCCCUAAGGCUAAAUACUAACAUGUGACCGAUAGCGAACAAGUACCGUGAGGGAAAGGUGAAAAGAACCCCGAAAGGGGAGUGAAACAGAACCUGAAACCUUAAGCCUACAAGCAGACAGAGGGCAAAAGCCUGAUGUCGUACCUUUUGUAGAAUGGGCCAGCGAGUUAUCAUAUAUAGCAAGGUUAAGUCUUUAAGAGACGGAUCCAAAGCGAAAGCGAGUCUUAAUAGGGCAAAAGUUAGAUAUGAUAGACCCGAAACCGGGUGAUCUAUCCAUGGUCAGAGUGAAGGUGAAGUAAAAUUCACUGGAGGCUCGAACCGGGUGCGGUUUAAAACGCAUCGGAUGAACUGUGGAUAGGGGCGAAAAACCAAACGAACCCGGAGAUAGCUGGUUCUCCUCGAAAUAGCUUUAGGGCUAGCCUAUGAUCAAAGAUUUAAGGAGGUAGAGCACUGACUGGCCUAGGGCGGCUAACCGUACCAAAGCCUAUCAAACUCCGAAUGCCAAAAAAUCAGAUCAUGGAGUCAGACUUAGAGGGAUAAGCUCCUAAGUCGAAAGGGAAAGAGCCCAGACCGACAGCUAAGGUCCCAAAAUCUGGAUUAAGUGGAAAAGGAUGUGAACCUACUAAGACAACCAGGACGUUGGCUUAGAAGCAGCCAUACAUUUAAAGAAUGCGUAAUAGCUCACUGGUCAAGUGGGUUUGCGCCGAAAAUAAACGGGGCUAAAAUUCAGUACCGAAGCUUCGGAUUGAUAGAGAAUUUAAAUCUAUAAUAUAAAGGAAACCAUUAAAAAAGGAUAAAGAAAACUAAACUAGACUGAGAAAUAUUAAAAAAUACAAUCAAGAUAAAACGAGUUAUCAACUAAUUAAUUACGCAAAAUCACAAGUAAAAGGUAAGUUGUAAACUACAAAAAUCACUAGAUUAAACAGUAAGAUAUAUAAAUAAAAAAUAUAUCAAAGUCUAAAAGAAGUAUUCUAAAACCAAAGAAAUGGUACUUAUGUAUAGAUUUAAAUACUCUAUCAGUGGUAGAGGAGCAUUGUAUUAGGGGUGAAGCCCAAGCGAAAGCAGGUGUGGACUUAAUACAAGAGAGAAUGCUGGCAUGAGUAGCGAGAAGGAGUGUGAGAAUCACUCCCGUCGAAACCCUAAGGACUCCUGAGCAAGGCUCGUCCCCUCAGGGAAAGUCGGGACCUAAGGUGAGGCCAAAAGGCGUAGCCGAUGGAUAACAGGUUUAUAUUCCUGUACCGCUUAAAGUCGCUAAUAGAGAAGUGAUGACGCAAGAGGAUAGACUAUCUGCCCGAUGGAAGGCAGUCUAAGCACAAAGGUUUAUUAGUAGGCAAAUCCGCUAAUAAAAAGACUAAUGUGUGAUAGGUAUCGAAAACAUGAGUAGAGAAGUAGUCGAUUUCAAAUUGCCAAGAAAAGUCACUAUCAAGACAAAAGCGCCCGUACCAAAACCGACACAGGUAGGGAGGUAGAGAAUACCAAGACGCGCGGAAGAACCUUUGUUAAGGAACUCGGCAAAAUGUCCCCGUAACUUCGGGAGAAGGGGAGCCAGAGCGAUCUGGCCACAGAAACCAGGCCCAAGCGACUGUUUACCAAAAACACAAGUUUCUGCAAAAUCGUAAGAUGAAGUAUAGGAGCUGACACCUGCCCGGUGCUGGAAGGUUAAGGGGAAGGCUUAGCGAAUGCGAAGGCUAGAACUUAAGCCCCAGUAAACGGCGGCCGUAACUAUAACGGUCCUAAGGUAGCGAAAUUCCUUGUCGGGUAAGUUCCGACCCGCACGAAAGGUGUAACGAUUUGGGCACUGUCUCAACAAAGGAUCCGGUGAAAUUGUAGUAGUCGUGAAGAUGCGACUUACCCACGCUAGGACGGAAAGACCCCGUGGAGCUUUACUGUAGGCUGAUAUUGGAUUUUGAGAUUAGACGUACAGGAUAGUUGGGAGACAAAGAAACUUGCACGCCAGUGUAGGUCAAGUCACCCUUGGGAUACCAACCCUCUAAUAUCAAAGUUCUAACAUUGACCCUUAAUCAGGGCAAAGGACAUUGUCAGUUGGGCAGUUUGACUGGGGCGGUCGCCUCCCAAAAAGUAACGGAGGCGUUCAAAGGUUCGCUCAGAAUGGACGGAAACCAUUCGAAGAGUACAAAGGCAAAAGCGAGCUUAACUGCGAGAUAUACAGAUCAAGCAGAGUAGAAAUACGGACUUAGUGAUCCGGUGGCACCGCAUGGAAGGGCCAUCGCUCAACGGAUAAAAGCUACCCCGGGGAUAACAGGCUUAUCUCCCCCAAGAGUCCACAUCGACGGGGAGGUUUGGCACCUCGAUGUCGGCUCGUCUCAUCCUGGGGCUGAAGUAGGUCCCAAGGGUUGGGCUGUUCGCCCAUUAAAGAGGCACGCGAGCUGGGUUCAGAACGUCGUGAGACAGUUCGGUCCCUAUCCAGCGUGGGCGUAAGAAAUUUGAGAGGACCUGUCCUUAGUACGAGAGGACCGGGAUGGACAUACCACUGGUGUACCAGUUGUUCCGCCAGGAGCAUAGCUGGGUAGCUAAGUAUGGAAUUGAUAAGUACUGAAAGCAUCUAAGUACGAAGCAACCCUCAAGAUAAGAUUUCU
rnacentral:rRNA from 1 species